GAUGAAGAACGCAGCGAAAUGCGAUAAGUAAUGUGAAUUGCAGAAUUCAGUGAAUCAUCGAAUCUUUGAACGCACCUUGCACCCUUUGGCAUUCCGAAGGGUAUGCUCGUUUGAGUGUCAUUGUACUCUCACACUUCCAAUCUUUGGAUUGGGAGCAGUGGACUUGGGUGUUGCUGCUUACUGUGGCUCACCUCAACUCGAUUCGUGCACCUCUUGGUUGGACAUAGUACGGCGUGAUAAGUGUCUUCGCCGGCACCUCAGUAGAGGGUGGCUGAUCAGGAGCUCUGUGCUUCAAACCGUCCUCGGACAACAACUGACAACUUGACCUCAAAUCGAGUAGGACUACCCGCUGAACUUAAGCAUAUCAAUAAGCGGAGGA
rnacentral:misc_RNA from 1 species